rnacentral:misc_RNA from 1 species
AAGUCAUAACAAGGUUUCCGUAGGUGAACCUGCGGAAGGAUCAUUAUUGAAUGGCGAGAGCCUUUUCAACCCACACACCGUGAACCGUCGGCCGAGAGGCCGUCCCACAAACCCAUGUACAGAACGUAUGUAUACCUUAACAAACAUAACUUUCAACAACGGAUCUCUUGGCUCUC